rnacentral:lncRNA from 1 species
UGGUAUUUUAGUUGUGAAAUAUAUGAAGUUGUGGGAUGGUUCACAACACUUGGAAGGGUAUACCUUUCCAAAUUACACCACGGUAAGAGUUAUUUUUGAUAACUUAACACAUUUUAUUUAUUUAUAGUUUGGUGAUUGCAAACUGAUUCCAUGAUAUAUUAUUUAGAAGGAGCUCCUACGCUUUCGUCAAGAGAUGCUAACUUCGUGGGUGUUGCAUGAGUUUAACGUUCAACGAAAAGCUGUAUUGACAGAUUUGGAAGUAGAUUGCCCUUGAUUUUUAUUGGACACUUUCAAUUGUAAC